CCUACGGGAGGCAGCAGUGGGGAAUUGUUCGCAAUGGGCGCAAGCCUGACGACGCAACGCCGCGUGGAGGAUGAAGGUCUUCGGAUUGUAAACUCCUGUUGCCCGGGACGAAACGCUCCGACCUAACACGUCGGAGUCUGACGGUACCGGGUGAGGAAGCCCCGGCUAACUCCGUGCCAGCAGCCGCGGUAAU
rnacentral:rRNA from 1 species